AGAAAGUUAGUCUAACAAAGACAGUUGAUUUCGGCUCAACAGAUCACAGCCAUCCUCUGUGACUUUCUU
rnacentral:tRNA from 1 species